AAAUUGAAGAGUUUGAUCAUGGCUCAGAUUGAACGCUGGCGGCAGGCCUAACACAUGCAAGUCGAA
rnacentral:rRNA from 13 species